rnacentral:rRNA from 1 species
UACGGGGGGGGGCAAGCGUUGUUCGGAAUUACUGGGCGUAAAGGGCUGGUAGGCGGCCAACUAAGUCGGAUGUGAAAUCCCCAGGCUUAACCUGGGAACUGCAUCCGAUACUGGUCGGCUUGAAUCCGGGAGAGGGAUGCAGAAUUCCAGGUGUAGCGGUGAAAUGCGUAGAUAUCUGGAGGAAUACCGGUGGCGAAGGCGGCAUCCUGGACCGACAUUGACGCUGAGGAGCGAAAAGCCAGGGGGAGCAAAC